UACGAACACGUUUCCUUUUUACUACAUGUACAAUCAAUCACAAUCGUUUCCAUACUAGCGAGACCUUCGAACACUAUAUAAACCAAACCCUUUUCGACAAACCCUCACACCAUAAACCCUUUCUCUAGACCUCGUCAAUUCAGAAAGUAAGAAACCUCCCUGUAGAGUUGCCGGAGAUACAAGAACGUCGCCAAAGGAGAUCGGAGUUUAUGAAGGAACAAGACUCGGCUUGUUUCGCGGCCGGAUCCUCGUUCUUGUUCGGUUUUAAAGAGAGCACACCGGAGCCUUCGACGAACUCGACUUGACCCAAUUCCGUGAUAACCGCUUACAUCCGUUCUCUUGGAUUCUCCAUCUUUACUCGUGCGUUAUUAUAAGAAAUCGCAACGCAACCAAUGUUGAUAGACGAAGUGAUCAAGAAAACAAGCUAGGAUGAAUCUAGAAACCCAUCUUAGAAUAAGCAAUGUCUUGAAUUAUUUUUGCAAUUUGUCUUUAUUUGGAAAACAAUGUAUGAAUUUAGUCAUUUAUGAAAUUUGAUUAAUUUAUAUUGUCA